rnacentral:rRNA from 1 species
UGCCAGCCGCCGCGGUAAUACAGAGGGUGCAAGCGUUAAUCGGAAUUACUGGGCGUAAAGGGUGCGUAGGUGGCUAGAUAAGUUAGAUGUGAAAGCCCUGGGCUCAACCUGGGAAUUGCGUUUGAAACUGUUUGGCUAGAGUGCUGUAGAGGGUAGUAGAAUUUCCAGUGUAGCGGUGAAAUGCGUAGAUAUUGGAAGGAAUACCGGUGGCGAAGGCGACUGCCUGGACAGACACUGACACUGAGGCACGAAAGCGUGGGGAGCGAACAGGAUUAGAUA